GUCACUUAUAGUGCUCUGGUUAGCACAGUAGCUGGGCCCCUGAACCCUCUACAGGCCUCCCAAGCUGGCACUGAAUAAAAUGUGAGAAAUGAAAGGAACUUUUCCGUGAGUCUGGCAGCGCCGACAGACACUGAGGUGGCAGAGCUGUCUGGUCCCAGUCCACAUGCAGAGGCCUGCAGCUCCUCCUUCCAGCCCGCACCCACCAGAGCUUCUCAGACGGGCCGUGUCCUGAGAAGGAAAGCAAAAAGCCCCGAAGAGCCUGGCUUGGAAUAAAAACAUGCACCAUACAAGAUUUUUAUGAAGAUUAAAUAACUUGGGCUAAAAUAUUCUGGAAGCUGCCAAGGGCUCUACAGAUGAGCUAUACAGAGGCAUUUGCUGAAAACUGGCCUGGAUUGACAAGCGCAAUGCAAACGUGGCUGCGGCAGUUCCAGGCAUCACAUGGUAACAAGAUCACAUCCAGUGAAGAAGGAAUUCUCAUAAGACAGUCAGCAGAUUUUGCAGGUUUUCAACUGAUUGGAUGAGGUUCACCUACAUUAUGGAGGACAGUCUGCUUUACUCAAAGUCCAUCAAUGUAAAUUCCUGCAAGGUGGAUAUCACUCUCACCUUCAGCGCACAAAGAAAGGAGGUAUACAGAAGACACAGAACUCACCAAAGUCACAGGAACUAGGUGAGGAUGAACCAGGCUGCAUCCAAGCAGCCCAGCUUCAGGGUCUGUAUUCUUUGCCACUACCCAGAACUUUUACCAAUAAGCAAAGCUAUUGUUUGCAAUAACAGGAAGCAAAAAUAGCAAAAAGUUCCCUUUAAGGGGGAGUGUUAUAAUAUACUUAACAAUCAGAAUGGCUGAAGCACUGAUCUGUGAGAGUGGCUACUGGUCAUAGCCUGGAGCUGGUCUUUUAGGUCCUCUUUGGUUACUGGAUCCUGGGAGGAUGGAUGAGGAAGUGGUCUCAGGCAAGGGGUGGAGUUAAGUGGCUGUGGAAGGUACUUUGGAGGCUCAGGCAGCAGCUUUUUUUCCCCUUAAACUUUUGUUUUAAGUUCUAGGGUACACGUGCAGGAUGUGCAGUUUACAUAGGUAAACGUGUGCCGUGGUGGUUUGCUGUACAGAACAAACCAUCACUCAGGUAUUAUUAAGCCCAGCACCCAUUAGCUAUUCUUUCUGAUGCUUUCCCUCUCCCAACUUCCACCCGACAGGCCCCAGUGUGUGUUGUUCCCCUCCCUCUGUUCUCAUUGUUCAGCUCCCACUUAUAAGUGAGAACAUGUGGUGUUUGGUUUUCUGUUCCUGCGUCAGUUUGCUGAGGAUAACAGCUUCCAGCUCCAACUAUGUCCCUGCAAAGGACAUGAUCUGAUUCCUUGUUAUGGCUGCAUAGUAUUCCAUGGUGUAUAUGUAACACAUUUUCUUUAUCCAGUCUAUUGUUGAUGCACAUUUGGGUUGAUUCCAUGCCUUUGCUAUUGUAAAUAGUGUUGCAAUGAACAUACAUCUUUAUAUAUGAAUAUAUGUAUCUUUAUAAUAGAAUGAUCUAUAUUCCUUUGGGUAUAUGCGCAGUAAUAAGAUUGCUGGGUCAAAUGGUAUUUCCGCUUCUAGAUCUUUGAGGAAUCGCCACACUGUCUUUCACCAUGGUUGAACUAAUUUACAUUCCCACCAACAGUGUAAAAACGUUCCUUUUUCUCCACAACUUUGCCAACAUCUGCAGUUUCUUGACUUUUUAAUAAUUGCCAUUCUGACUGGCAUGAGAUGGUAUCUCAUUUUGGUUUUGAUUUGCAUUUCUCUGAUGAUCAGUG